UCNGAUUGCGAAGGCAGCUUGCUGGACUGUAACUGACGCUGAGGCACGAAAGCGUGGGGAUCAAACAGGAUUAGAUNCCNUGGUAGNCCACGCCNUAAACGAUGAAUGCUAGCUGUUAGCGAUAUACUGUUAGCGGCACAGAGAAAUCGUUAAGCAUUCCACCUGGGGAGUACGCCGGCAACGGUGAAACUCAAAGGAAUUGACGGGGGCCCGCACAAGCGGAGGAACAUGUGGUUUAAUUCGAUGAUACGCGAGGAACCUUACCUGGGCUUAAAUUGCAGUGGAAUAACGUGGAAACAUGUUAGCCUUCGGGCCGCUGUGAAGGUGCUGCAUGGUUGUCGUCAGCUCGUGCCGUGAGGUGUCGGCUUAAGUGCCAUAACGAGCGCAACCCUCAUCGAUAGUUACUAACAGGUUAAGCUGAGGACUCUAUCGAGACUGCCGACGUAAGUCGUGAGGAAGGUGGGGAUGACGUCAAAUCAGCACGGCCCUUACGUCCAGGGCUACACACGUGUUACAAUGGGGGGUACAAAGGGCAGCUACCUGGCGACAGGAUGCUAAUCUCAAAAACCUCUCUCAGUUCGGAUUGGAGUCUGCAACCCGACUCCAUGAAGCUGGAUUCGCUAGUAAUCGCGCAUCAGCCACGGCGCGGUGAAUACGUUCCCGGGCCUUGUACACACCGCCCGUCAAGCCAUGGGAGCCGGGGGGACCUGAAGUAUGCAACCGUAAGGAGCGUCCUAGGGUAAAACUGGUGACUGGGGCU
rnacentral:rRNA from 1 species